UGAGCGCCUCUCGGGAGUGGGGAUGACGUCUCGCUUCCAUCUCCGCAGCCUGGACGGGAGGCUGGCACGGCGGGCCGGGCGCCUGCUGGAGGAGUGGGGACAGACUGGCUGCCGCGGCUGCCGCGGGCACAGGUGCACUGUGCUUUGGUGUCGCUCCUGCUCCGCGACCUCCUUUUCCAGGUCCUGCACGCCCGGGUCGUGGGUGGCAGUGCCAGGGCAGGGAGAGAGCUGAAGAUGGGAGGUUGGCAAGCUCCUCACAGCUCCCUCGUGGUUGUAGGCAUCUACGCCCCUGUCCGCCAACUGCUCCUUGACUCUCUGAUGGUGACAGCGUGCCAUGCAGAGGGUUGAGACAGGAGGGCUGCGGGGCUGUCCCCACGCAUGUGACUUCCGUAUUGUGCUUGAAGUGGUGUCGUUGCCAGGAGCGGCCCGGCCCCGGAGACCCUCCUGACCCCAAAGCCCUGAGGGGCCCUUGGCCGUGCGGUCCCUGAGAGGAGGAAAGACCUUCGCUGCUUUGCCGAGAUCACGAGAGCCGCCCGAAGCCCUGGGAACCUUCCUCCACUUCCCAUGGUGGUGCCACCUGGGUCACGAAGCGCAGCGAAUGGGCAACUCCCAAACCUGCCCGCCGUAAGUAGGUUCUGCCGUCCGCCGCAUCAAGACAAAACAUGAGACCUU